CAGGAAGGAGGACUGACACAGCAGACACGGUGGAGGACACUGGGCUGUGGCUCCAAACAGGAAUGCUCUGACAGCCGGUGAGCAGGGCAGCUGCGGUGACCCGAGAUGAGAUGUUGUCCACCGGGGAGUGACGUGUGAGCCAUGAAUGCAGUGGCAUGCUCUGAGAUCCACAACAGCAGCUCAGAGGACAGGCAGAAUCCUGGACACCUGCAGAGUUCUGCACAGGGUCAUGGAGCCACUGGACAGCUGACGGGGACGAAAAACCACAUAUUAAAGAAACAGCCUCCAUCGGCACAA